AUUGAACGCUGGCGGCAGGCCUAACACAUGCAAGUCGAACGAGUGGCGGAGGGGUGAGAAACGUCUGGGAAACGGCCCGAUGGAGGGGGAUAACUACUGGAAACGGUAGCUAAUACCGCAUACAAUCGGAUGUGCCCAGAUGGGAUUAGCGAGUAGGUGGGGUAACGGCUCAACUAGGCGACGAUCCCGAGCUGGUCUGAGAGGAUGACCCGCCAAACUGCAACUGUGGCACGGUCCAAACUCCUACGGGAGGAAGCGGUGGGGAAUAUGGCGCAAUGGGCGAAUGGCGGAUGCACCCAUGCCGCGUGGAUGAAGAAGGCCUUAGGGUUGUAGGGUACUUACACCGAGGAGGCGUUACGCGCAGAAGAAGCACCGGCUAACUACGUGCCAGCCGCCGCGGUAAUUC
rnacentral:rRNA from 1 species